GACGAACGCUGGCGGCGUGCCUAAUACAUGCAAGUAGAACGCUGAAGGAGGAGCUUGCUUCUCUGGAUGAGUUGCGAACGGGUGAGUAACGCGUAGGUAACCUGCCUGGUAGCGGGGGAUAACUAUUGGAAACGAUAGCUAAUACCGCAUAAUAGUAGAUGUUGCAUGACAUUUGCUUAAAAGGUGCAAUUGCAUCACUACCAGAUGGACCUGCGUUGUAUUAGCUAGUUGGUGGGGUAACGGCUCACCAAGGCGACGAUACAUAGCCGACCUGAGAGGGUGAUCGGCCACACUGGGACUGAGACGCGGCCCAGACUCCUACGGGAGGCAGCAGUAGGGAAUCUUCGGCAAUGGACGGAAGUCUGACCGAGCAACGCCGCGUGAGUGAAGAAGGUUUUCGGAUCGUAAAGCUCUGUUGUAAGAGAAGAACGAGUGUGAGAGUGGAAAGUUCACACUGUGACGGUAUCUUACCAGAAAGGGACGGCUAACUACGUG
rnacentral:rRNA from 1 species